UACAGAGGUGGCAAGCGUUGUUCGGAAUUACUGGGCGUAAAGGGCGCGUAGGCGGCCUUCUAAGUCAGACGUGAAAUCCCCCGGCUUAACCUGGGAACUGCGUCUGAUACUGGGAGGCUAGAGUAUGGGAGAGGGAUGUAGAAUUCCAGGUGUAGCGGUGAAAUGCGUAGAUAUCUGGAGGAAUACCGGUGGCGAGGGCGGCAUCCUGGACCAUUACUGACGCUGAGGCGCGAAAGCUAGGGGAGCAAACGGG
rnacentral:rRNA from 1 species